AAAAUCCGUCGACUUUUAAAAUCGUGAGGGUUCAAGUCCCUUU
rnacentral:tRNA from 1 species